UGGUGUUUUUUUUUUCCAGAAAUGAAGAAGAAUGGAUGUUGUGGACUAUUAGGUCUAAAUCCAGAACAAUUAGGUUAUUUCAGAGACCAUUUGGACUAAUAUAGGGGUUAUAUCCAAGUCUUAGCUUCAGCUGGUGUCUAACAUGGUUGUAUGGGACUUCAAAUCCAAUGAAAAUCAGGUACAUAGUACGUUGUCGAUGAUUGUUCCGACAACAACAAUGGCAUAGAGUAGAUGAAGGGGCUCUUGUCAGUUAGACCCGCAAGCACAUAUGAGUUUUGCUGAAGGUUUAAAGACGCACUCCAACUGUUUGAUGAAAUGCUUCAACUAAAAAUUCAAGAUGCAAAUUACCGGCAUAUGCAUUUUUGCGAUGGACAUCAUCUGAAAAUGAAAUUCAUGUGAGUUCUUGCCUCUCAUUUGGACUUCUUUUCUCUCGAUUUGAUAUUUUCAGAAUUCUAAUGGUGUCUCUUUAGCAACACGCUGUUUAUUUUUUGCUCCAGCAAACUAAUUUGCUAUUUUUUGGGGACUUCAAGAAUUAGAAUGGAUAAUGGGUAGAUUGAUACUGAUGGUGUCUCUUUAGCAACAUGCUGGACAGGUUUGAUUGAUAUUACACGUUUUCAUCUUAUUAUAUGUUUACAACUGGAAUAAUAAUUUCCUUGGUGCAACAGGAGGUAGCAUUGUCAUUUGUACUUUACUUUUGUUUAUUUGAUUUAGGGUAAAGGGAUGUUAUUAGAAUCAGCUCUAAUGAACAGGUGCUCCCAAAAUGGUCACAAACAGGUUGAGAUUAUUUUUACAUUGUAGCACGCAUCCACCACACCAAAUAUAUACCAUAUUCUGGACAAUAUAUAAUUCAAGGAUAACAUAAGAUAUGGGUCGUGGUGUCCCAUGUAGAGAGUUCAAAAUGUGAAAGAUGCUGGAAUGUUUCACCUCAUGUUGGUUCAUUUUUUUUAUCACCUGACGCUUUGCAAACGCUGAUGUUAUUGUUGGUCAACCACUUCAUGUUCUUGCAGCUGCAGAAAGUGGAAAGUAAAAUCGUGCAGAAAGUUCGAGGAUAGCGCAUGCUUCUGGUCAAACGGUGGUCGCUUGAUUUUUUAUUUGAAUCGCUUGGUGAAACGUGUGGGCGGAUGUAUUUCCAAAAAUCUUUGCUUUGGAGUCCAACAAAAAUGAAAUUGUGGCUGGGAGAUGUCAAUCGUAGUGUCUCAAUUUGGUUUUGGGAGUGAAAAAGAGAACCAUUGUUGGAUGAAGAGCUGUUAGAGUUUGGUCUUUGUCAAAAUUUAAUUCAAGAGAUCACGCUCUGGGAGUCUACUAACCAGAUUUUGAGGAAGCGGGUUGACCAUUUCGAAAUAUGUUGGCCCUUUGAAUAAUACCAGGUCAAAUGAGACCUACGGAGCUGCAUGAAGCACGGUUUGAGGCCUUGCAACAAGGGAUCUUGAAAGCUUCAAUAUUUGUUUAUGAACAAUUAUGUCAUAAAAGAUGCGUUCAUCAGAAAUCGGUAUUACUGUCCGCUGGCGCACGAAAGAUACUUAUAAGGAUAUCAAAGUGUUGGUUUUAUUUGAAUCAUAGUGUUGACGUUAACACACAUUUUCACGGCCGCGUCGAUAAAGUUUCACCCACGCCGAUUUCUCAGUCGUUGAUCGAGCAUUUUAUGCAUAGUCGUCAAUAGCGAAUUGCUGAUGAUGACGAUAAGCUACAUAUACGCUACGUAGCUAUAGUGUUAAAAUAGCUGGCACCAUAGUUGUUAACGGUGAAUAGCGACAAAUAGCGAUAAGGUACCUACCUAUAUGUUACAUAGCGAAUAACGAUAAAUAGCGGGCAGUGAUGGUGAUUAACGGUGGGUAUAAGUUCCGGGGGUGGUAGAAGGUGAUUGUGGUGGUGACGGUUGACAAUUAUGGCGGACAAUGGUGGUUUGGUUUUUAGUGGUGCUCGGUGGAGCUAUGGAGAGUAACCAGGGUAGCCGGUGAGGUAUUAACCAGAGACGAGUCAAGUAACGAGUCAACCACUGGUCAACCGCGGUCAAAGCUGGUCAAUAGUGGUUAACAUGUCAGACUCGGUUGGCAUUUGAAUCGGGGAAACUCGGUGAGAAAUUCAAGAACUGGGCAUUCGUGAUGCCAUGUUAUAUUGACGGAAGUAGUAUGUACCCACUUGUAUACGAAUCUUUAUUACCUAAAGUACGUCGUUAGCUCCACAAGCACGCCUUUGUCUCUGUUGAAGACAAAUCGAGCGUUAGCUGCACCAAAUAAAAAAAAACCUUUGUCUCUGUUGAAGACAAAUUGAGCGUUAGCCGUACCAGAAAAAAAGAGCUAUGAGUUUCAUCAACUGCUGUUGUAUUAUGUGGGCACAUAAGUAGUUAUCACUCAAUUAGCUAUUGGUGCUCCUCUGCCUCCCGUAGGUUCCACCCAGAGUAAUAGAGUAAUAUGACGCCUUUGUGGCUGCAGUAGAUAAAGGAAAUAUAAUAACAAUGCCAAACAGAAGCAUGCCUACUCCUGGCGCGUUUUUAAUGGGAGACCCAUUUAACACGUGACACCCGUUCCGGUGUAGGAAUGAUUGUUGUGUUAUCAGAUAUCGUCUUACUUCGCGACCUUUGUAGACCACUAAGUAAUCUUAAUGAUGCACCUACACUUUGCAAUUAUCUUGAGUGCUUCUAUGCUCUUAGAAAGUCGUGUCAUCUACGAUAAACACAUUGGUGGGUGCUCUAUACAAGGUAUUUUGUGCAUCACCAGACUCAUGAAGAAAAGAAAUGCGUCAAGCAUGCUUCAAUUAUCUUAGCCUUGAAGGCAUAUGCUCACAAGGACCGAUAUCUUUACUUUCAUGACUCAACCGACGCCUCAUAGUCCUAUUUCUUCAUUUUUUUCUAUUGCUAUCUAUGGUGUUGGCUGUUUCUCUCAACCUGUUCCCAUCACCAAAACCGUUAUGGCUUGGGGCUCGACUCAUCUUGGGGGCGCAUCUGGGAUCAUCUUUCCAAUUAUCAAGUCGGAAGGAGUUCGACAAAUGUACUUCUCAGCAAUGGUUGCAGCAUACUACAAAGCUCCUCAAGUUGCUUAACCAUCAAUCAUAUCUUGAGUUUUUAAUGUUGGAAUGGUAUUGGAAGUAGGGUCCUAAUCUUCAUUUGGGGAGGUUGUGAUUAUUGUUUGGUUUGAAGGUUUUUGGAUUUAGGUAUAUGCAAUGCCUAAAGAAGUUGAAUUGGUUAUUAUUGUUUGUUGCUUAUAGACUUAAAAUGAGAGUUUGUGUUUCGAAGUUAUGUGUAGUAAUGAAUGUAUUAGCUGCGAUUGUGUU